CAGUAGCCGCGGUAAUACGGAGGGUGCAAGCGUUAAUCGGAAUUACUGGGCGUAAAGCGCACGCAGGCGGUCUGACAAGUCAGAUGUGAAAUCCCCGGGCUUAACCUGGGAACUGCAUUUGAAACUGUCAGGCUGGAGUCUUGUAGAGGGGGGUAGAAUUCCAGGUGUAGCGGUGAAAUGCGUAGAGAUCUGGAGGAAUACCGGUGGCGAAGGCGGCCCCCUGGACAAAGACUGACGCUCAGGUGCGAAAGCGUGGGGAGCAAACAGGAUUAGAUACCCCAGUAGUCCCUGUCUCUUAUAU
rnacentral:rRNA from 1 species